UGAAUGAAAAUAUGUUUGAGAGAUCAAAAUCAAAGGAAUAUUUCAUUAAACUUAAUUUGGAAAUAUUUUUUCAGAAAAUUUUAAAGUUAUUUAUCAAUGCAUAAAGACCCUGGCUAAAGUAUUAUAUAGACUAGAAGAGAAGACAAGGAGUUGCGAGCUGGCUUACUGUGAAGCCUCCUUCAGGUCGUAAGCCACAAGACGACAAGGCGCGUUAAUGUUAACGCCUUUUUGACUUUUGAAGCGCCACCAGCCGGCAUCAGCAUCAGAUCCAGCUUGUUCCACAUUUUGCUUUAGCAUAUCCAAUUUGAAAUCGGAUUCCAAGUUUUGUCACACUGACUGCAUCUCGAUACUGAUGUGGUCUAUGUAGCUGUAGCUGUUGGCAAUUUGAUUAUUGCAAAUCCAAUAAACUUUCUGAUUCGACUGAUGUCGACUUCUGUA